rnacentral:rRNA from 1 species
ACGUAGGGUGCGAGCGUUAAUCGGAAUUACUGGGCGUAAAGCGUGCGCAGGCGGUUUAGUAAGACAGGCGUGAAAUCCCCGGGCUCAACCUGGGAACUGCGCUUGUGACUGCUAAGCUAGAGUACGGCAGAGGGGGGUGGAAUUCCACGUCGCGAGGCCAGACGCGCCAGGCUGCGGCGGAACAACGAUGGCGGAGGGAGCCCUCUGGAUUCAUACUGGGGGUAUUCCUCGAGACCGUGGGGUCCUGUUCG